GAUGAACGCUGGCGGCGUGCCUAAUACAUGCAAGUCGAGCGAACAGACGAGGAGCUUGCUCCUCUGACGUUAGCGGCGGACGGGUGAGUAACACGUGGAUAACCUACCUAUAAGACUGGGAUAACUUCGGGAAACCGGAGCUAAUGCCGGAUAAUAUAUUGAACCGCAUGGUUCAAUAGUGAAAGACGGUUUUGCUAUCACUUAUAGAUGGAUCCGCGCCGCAUUAGCUAGUUGGUAAGGUAACGGCUUACCAAGGCAACGAUGCGUAGCCGACCUGAGAGGGUGAUCGGCCACACUGGAACUGAGACACGGUCCAGACUCCUACGGGAGGCAGCAGUAGGGAAUCUUCCGCAAUGGGCGAAAGCCUGACGGAGCAACGCCGCGUGAGUGAUGAAGGUCUUCGGAUCGUAAAACUCUGUUAUUAGGGAAGAACAAAUGUGUAAGUAACUAUGCACGUCUUGACGGUACCUAAUCAGAAAGCCACGGCUAACUACGUG
rnacentral:rRNA from 1 species